rnacentral:lncRNA from 1 species
CCCUUUAGGAGAGCUUACUUUGCGGUUUGCAGCGCUCUCGUGCAGGUCUCGUUGUUGCCCUGUAUCAGAAAAACCUGCCACUGAAUGUGCCUACAGGAAAAUGCAUAAGUAUUCAAGAAAAUUAUAUAAGUUGAAAUGUAAAAAUGAAUAA